GACGAACGCUGGCGGCGUGCUUAACACAUGCAAGUCGAGCGGAAAGGCUCCUUCGGGAGUACUCGGGCGGCGAACGGGUGAGUAACACGUGGGUAACCUGCCCUCGGCACCGGAAUAGCCCGGGGAAACUCGGAUUAAUGCCGGAUAGCCCCUCUGCCCUGCGGGGCGGCGGGAAAAGGUAGCUUCGGCCUCUGGCCGAGGAUGGGCUCGCGGCGGAUUAGCUUGUUGGCGGGGUAACGGCCCACCAAGGCGACGAUCCGUAGCUGGUCUGAGAGGACGAUCAGCCUCACUGGGACUGAGACACGGCCCAGACUCCUACGGGAGGCAGCAGUGGGGAAUCUUGCGCAAUGGGCGAAAGCCUGACGCAGCGACGCCGCGUGCGGGAAGAAGGCCUUCGGGUUGUAAACCGCUUUCAGGAGGGACGAAGCCACUCGGGUGAACAGCCCAGAGGGUGACGGUACCUCCAGAAGAAGCCCCGGCUAACUACGUGCCAGCAGCCGCCGUAAAAC
rnacentral:rRNA from 1 species